rnacentral:ncRNA from 1 species
CGGGCCUCUGGAGAGACUCUUAAAGAGCACCGAAGGAGCAAGUUUAUUAAUUUACUUUUGCAAUAUCUUUAAUAAAUAAAUUUUUAUUGAGAAUAUUACACUAACCUUUACAAAAGUAAAUUUAUAAAUGAAACUCUCAGGUAAAAGGACAGAGGAUG